rnacentral:ncRNA from 1 species
UUCGAUAUAGGGCAAACUACUUGAAAAAGUAGGACGCAAAACUAUAGGGGCUAAAUCUUUUGACACGCCAGCCAGUUGCAAAU